rnacentral:rRNA from 1 species
UGAGGGGGGCUGCUCCUAGUACGAGAGGACCGGAGUGGACGCAUCACUGGUGUUCGGGUUGUCAUGCCAAUGGCCUGCCCGGUAGCUAAAUGCGGAAGAGAUAAGUGCUGAAAGCAUCUAAGCACGAAACUUGCCCCGAGAUGAGUUCUCCCUGACUCCUUGAGAGUCCUGAAGGAACGUUGAAGACGACGACGUUGAUAGGCCGGGUGUGUAAGCGCAGCGAUGCGUUGAGCUAACCGGUACUAAUGAACCGUGAGGCUUAACCUUACAACGCCGAAG